ACUCAACACUAAUUCUUUAUAGAAGGAUGAGUCUGGGUUGUAAAAGCGCGCCGUUCCCGAUUUUUCGGGAUGAACGGAUUCUUGAUCAGCCCGUUAGUCCUAUGAUUUAUAUAAGGAGUUU
rnacentral:sRNA from 1 species